rnacentral:tRNA from 1 species
AAUGAUGUGCCUGAGUAAAAGGAUUAUUUUGAUAGAAUAAAUAAUGUAAUUUUUAUUACCUUCAUUA